rnacentral:rRNA from 1 species
AGCAGCCGCGGUAAUUCCAGCUCCAAUAGCGUAUAUUAAAGUUGUUGCAGUUAAAAAGCUCGUAGUUGAAUUUCGAGAUCAAAUUGUUGGUCGUGCCUUGGUACGCACUGGCAUUAUUGGUUUCUCCCUUCUGACGAACCAUGAUGUCAUUAAUUUGGUGUCUUGGGGAAUCAGGACUGUUACUUUGAAAAAUUAGAGUGUUUAAAGCAGGCUCACGCUUGAAUACAUUAGCAUGGAAUAAUGAAAUAGGACGUUUGAUUCUAUUUUGUUGGUUUCUAGGAUCGACGUAAUGAUUAAUAGGGAUAGUUGGGGGCAUUAGUAUUCAAUUGUCAGAGGUGAAAUUCUUGGAUUUAUUGAAGACUAACUACUGCGAAAGCAUUUGCCAAGGAUGUUUUCAUUAAUCAAGAACGAAAGUUAGGGGAUCGAAGACGAUCAGAUACCGUCGUAGUCUUAACCAUAAACUAUGCCGACUAGGGAUCGGAUGAUGUUAAUUUUUAAUGACUCAUUCGGCGCCUUAAC